rnacentral:rRNA from 1 species
GGAUGAACGCUAGCGAUAGGCCUAACACAUGCAAGUCGAGGGGCAUCACAUGAGGUAGCAAUACUGAUGGUGGCGACCGGCGCACGGGUGAGUAACACGUAUGCAACCUACCUUCCACACGGGGAUAACCCGGAGAAAUCCGGACUAAUACCCGAUAAUACAGGGGUCCCGCAUGGGAAUAUUUGUUAAAGAUUUAUUGGUAGAAGAUGGGCAUGCGUUCCAUUAGUUAGUUGGUGAGGUAACGGCUCACCAAGGCGACGAUGGAUAGGGGAACUGAGAGGUUUAUCCCCCACACUGGAACUGAGACACGGUCCAGACUCCUACGGGAGGCAGCAGUGAGGAAUAUUGGUUAAUGGAGGCAACUCUGAACCAGCCAAGUCGCGUGAAGGAUGAAGGUCUUAUGGAUUGUAAACUUCUUUUAUACAGGAAUAAAUUGAGUCACGUGUGGCUUUUUGCAUGUACUGUAUGAAUAAGGAUCGGCUAACUCCGUGCCAGCAGCCGCGGUAAUACGGAGGAUCCGAGCGUUAUCCGGAUUUAUUGGGUUUAAAGGGUGCGCAGGCGGGAUGUUAAGUCGGCGGUGAAAUUUUGCGGCUCAACCGUAAGAGUGCCUUCGAAACUGGCAUUCAUGAGUAUGGAUGAAGUAGGCGGAAUUUGUGGUGUAGCGGUGAAAUGCUUAGAUAUCACGAGGAACUCCGAUUGCGCAGGCAGCUUACUAAACCAUAACUGACGCUCAUGCACGAAGGCGUGGGGAUCAAACAGGAUUAGAUACCCUGGUAGUCCACGCAGUAAACGAUGAUUACUAGUUGUUUGCGAUACAAUGUAAGCGACUGAGCGAAAGCAUUAAGUAAUCCACCUGGGGAGUACGUUCGCAAGAAUG